GAUGAAGAACUCAGCGAAAUGCGAUAAGUAAUGUGAAUUGCAGAAUUCAGUGAAUCAUCGAAUCUUUGAACGCACAUUGCGCCCGCCAGUAUUCUGGCGGGCAUGCCUGUUCGAGCGUCAUUACAACCCUCAGGCCCCCGGGCCUGGCGUUGGGGAUCGGCGGAGCCCCCCGUGGGCACACGCCGUCCCCCAAAUGCAGUGGCGGUCCCGCCGCAGCUUCCAUCGCGUAGUAGCUAACACCUCGCGACUGGAGAGCGGCGCGGCCACGCCGUAAAACACCCAACUCUUCUGAAGUUGACCUCGAAUCAGGUAGGAAUACCCGCUGAACUUAAGCAUAUCAAUAAGCGGAGA
rnacentral:misc_RNA from 1 species